UUUUAAUUAUAUAUCUACUCUUUGUUAUGAUGUCAAUCAUCUCUUGAUUAUAUAUCUUCUCUUUGUUAAUAAUUCAUAUCUAUGGUAAUCUAUGGCAUAUUUUGGUUAAUGAUUGCUGUAUUCAGGGAGAGCAAACAUUAAUGAUUAGCACAAGAAGUUUGAAGAAACACUAAAGAGAAAACGUAUUCAGAGAAAGAGGGGGAGCUGACAAUGUUUGAUGAUGUCAAAAAGGGAGAGAAAUUAAAGAAAAAGAAACAUAUCAAAAGCAAAAUUAU
rnacentral:lncRNA from 1 species